ensembl:lncRNA
AUGGAAACGAGAGAUCCCAGACCCAACCUUCAAGGUCUGGUGUCCGAGGAUGACGGUGGUCUGGAGAUGAAGACAGACUCGAACCCUGUGGCAGACCACACAGACAGCCCAUCGGAACCCUGUAGUGAGAAGCCCGAAGAUGAACCCCAAUUCACCCCCCCUGCCCCUGCACUCAUGAGAAGGUACUACGGUGUGAUGGAUGAUGAGGGUGCAGAUGCAGUCUUCGUCACGCCGCCUUCUCCAUCCUACGUGGCUGCUCUGCUGCCAGCAGAGGGCAGCACAGAUGCGAUGGUGACUAAUCCAAGUAUGACCCUUGCAAACGAGGCAUCUGACGCCACAGAGGCUAAAGGUAAUCCAAGUGGCUUAGACUGGCAUGGGGAAGAGCAGUUAAUGGCAGCAUACAACAAGGUGGAUGAAGUGAAAGCAAGUACAGUGCAGACUUCUGACGAGUCUAUGGACACCUUACCUCUGUCCAAAGACAGGGACUCCACUCUACCAAAGGAUCAAGACCAAACAGCCAUGGAAGGCGCAGGUAGUCUGGUGGAAUCGUGGGGGCACCAUCCAGGAGAACAAGAAUCAAGUGCGGAACCAGAGGUCAGUUUGAGGGGAGGACAGGAAAACUUGAAGGAAAGUGAAGCAGAGAAAGACAAAUAUCCGAAACAGGUACCUUCAAGCGUUGACGGAAACUCAUUUAAUGAGACGCAUUUUGACAAUGAAGAAGGCAAAACAACAUCCGGACACAUUUUUGGUCUUGCUGAGGUAGAUUCAAAACUAACGAAAGAAAACAUCGUCUGCGACAGUGUAGAGAAAAAUGACCCAACGAUGACUAAUCUCAGUGUGAGGUGUGAAGAUUUAGAGUCCUGCGGACCACCGGAGGUCUCCGAAUGCAACCCAACCAAGAUGGAGGCAGCAACCAGUCAACCACAGGUACCAGAGAUCUCAACAGAGACUGAAGAGUCUGUUGACACCAGAUCUUUGGAUUAUAACCUCACGAAGUACAACUGGGGGAGGAGGGAGAGUGGAGAAACACAAGUGCCCCGGCUCCCAAUCAUGGAAGGCACUGAAGAGACGGUCACAAAAGGAAGUAGAAGCAGGAGUAUAAGUAUUGAAAUCCUACAAGGAGAGCAACUCCUUCAGCGUCUGCAGCAAGUGCAGCUACGACAGGACGUAUGUACACCAGAGAGCCCUGAUAACACCCAGCAGGUUGUCCAAGAGAGAGAUGUAUUUGGGGCUGAUGAAAGUGAUCUUAAAGGAACAGAAGGGGAUCUGACAGUUGGAGAUAAGAAGGGAGAGAGUAGAUCUCACACUAUUGACGAGGAGGGAGGAAAGAUGAACCUAACGGAAGAAUGGGAGAGGGAAAACAAUGAAAAGAAUGAGAACAAAGACGAAAAGAAAGCCAGGGUGUCUUCGUCAGCAGUGCCUGUUGAGCCUGGGCAUGAAAUGACUGCCAGAGCAGAGGCAGGUGACUCCGAUGACCCCCAUGAAACAUAUUCCGCAGAAAAGUCUUUUCCAUCCACCUGUCACCAGUUCUCAACCGCCGUGACUUCCAUUGAGGAGCAGAUCCAUGAGGCAGCUCAGGAGACGCAGAACCUGCAGAGAGCCGGCGGUCUCUUCAGCCUUGCAGACAAUCCAGAUGUGCUUGAGAUUCCCUUUAAGACCAACAUCUCUCUUGAGCCACUUGCCACCUCAGUCAGCCCAGGUCAGCGCAGUGACUGGCAGUUCUCCGAGCAGAAGAUGCAGAAGGAGAUAAGUCAGGAGAUCCAGAGAGAACUGGUGCUUGUCAACCAAGGGAAGAUCCCAGGAGGGUACAGCAAAGGGGAAGUCCGUCAAUUAAAGCAGACAAAGCUACUGUUUGAGGCUUUCCAGCAGGAGAACCCAGAGGGUCCAACAAGGUACCGGAGAUCCCCUACCUUACUGAAGAAAGGUUAACUUUGCUGUGGUGCCGUACCACCAGACUACAGAGUCCCUUCCAUUCAUCCUUAGCACUCCACCACAUUUAAAAUAGAUAUUUAUAUAUAUAUAUAUAUAUAUACAUAUAUAUAUAUAUAUAUAUGACUUAUCCAUCCCACAAGUUGUAAUCUGACUCAGAGACAGGCAUUGAUAAUAACUGUAAAAACCCUAAGAAAGAGAUCUUCUUGCUAAUGGUCUCUUGCAUAUGUACAGUAGGUCAUAUAGAGAAAUCUGUAUUAAAUUCAGACCUUUUCAUAACCAGCGGUGCCUUUGACAUUUUAUUCCACGUUUGCCUUAAGCAUACAAAAAAACACAUUGUUCCAGGAAUUGUUAGCUAAGCUAAGCGACUGCUGGCUGUAGCUUCACAUUUAGACACGGGAGCGGUAUUGAUCUUCUCUAAAUCUCGGGCAUAAAGCCAAUGGUCAUAUUUUAAAGAGUAAGAAAACUUCUGUAAAGGGCAAUGCUUCAACGGUCUACCUUUUAGUCCAAGUUCAAAAGUGACACAACAGAAGUUACAAGAACAGUGUGUAUAUAACGCAAUGUGUUUGUGUAAUCGUAGAAGGGAUGGAGCAGAGCCAAGAGGGAGGGUAAACAGCUAACUUGAUUUGAUGUGAUAAACAUGUGAGGGGCUCAGAAGGAAGUUGUGUUUAUUAAAAGACCCAGUUCCUAUUAGUUAAUAUCUGAUACGGACGAAUUCAGCCACGGCCUGUCUUAUCUUGUAUAACGCCGGCUGAUAGCACUCAGUGUCAUCACAUUACAUAACGUUGUAUACAGCAGGUGAAACGAGGUCAAGCUGGCAUGUACUUUGAUGAUGCUGUGUUGGUGCAGCGCACUUCCCGCAGCACACUGUGUCACUGCGGAGGGAUUUUCUCCUGAGCCAAAUAAAAAGGAGACGUGAACAAAGGAUUUUCUUAAACAACAUCAGACUGCAAUCAAAGCUCGGAGGAUGAGAGGAGCAGACGGAAAUCAAAAAAAUAUGCGUAGAAAUGAAACGAAACAGGAUCAGAGAAGGUGUCGAGGUGACAGGUGUCACUCAGCUGAAGGUGUUUAUGUGUCCCGUCUUCCCGCGACAGCAAACUGUGUCAGCGGAGCCUCCUCCCUUCCCUGUCCUCCUCUCCGGACUUCCCUUGUGGUGUGCUUUGGAGUGUAUUUUAAGCCUGUCCCCCUCCACCUCCUGUGGGGCACUUUACGUAACAUGCCUUUGCCCAUCAACUUUGACUAACGCCUCCCAGCCCAUCCGUCUGACUCCCAGUGGCUGUUUUUCUAAAGCCGGUCAGCUGAUGUAAACAGUCUUGCUGUGAGUCUUGUCUGUGCCACCCACUUGGCAAGAACAGGGCACAGAUAUUUAUAUCCACCCUGCUGCCCACCACCGCUGCAGACAGAAUCCAGCCCAGAGCGGAUGAAUAAUGAAGCGAGGCCAGAAUGCAGAAGCGAUACUGUCUGAGGCUCAGUAAUAUCACUCUGAAAGUAUUUAAUAAAUGUUCAAGUUAUAAACAGCUGAGCUCACUGCCAGGCUGGCAGAGCUCUCCUCAGGGAAACUUCGAGCAUUGUUUAACAAGCACUAUUAAAACACAUUUACAGCCCUGCUACUACCACAAAUGAUCCGAAACAGAACUGUAUUGUGUAAUGCUGGGGUAUUGUAUGCCGACAGUUGAUGUAAUUUCCUAAAAAUGACAUUUUCUGGAAAGAGCUGCAUAAUGUGCUACUAAUCAUGGGGAAAGUACUGCCUGAGAAUGGGAUUCAAGUUAAGUUUGUUGUGUAAUUGAGUUGUGCUGUUCCGUUGUUUGUGUUGUAAGCAGUUCAAUCUUGAAAUAACGUAAUACAUCUUGGAUUGGAAUGACUAGAAAAGGCUAAUGACUAAUGAUGAUUUUCACUAUUGAUUGUUUUAUUCAUUCAUCGAUUAACUGUUCUGUCAAUCUAAUGUAAAAAUACAUAAAUAAAUAAAUGAAUGAAUAAAGGGAAAGUGUUUCAUUUCCUGUCACAUGCAAAUCAGUUCAGUUCAAUCAACUUACUAACGCUAUAAUCAUGCACUACUGCUGCUAACCGGAC